GUGUCCAGACUGGUGGUCCAUGUUUCUAGCUGUGGCAGUGGGCACACAGUCAGGACAGACAUUAACAGCCAUCCAGUAAAGGGGACAUUUCCCAAGCAGGACUUGAUCCUAAAGGCAGGAUGGAACAU
rnacentral:scRNA from 1 species